rnacentral:rRNA from 1 species
GACGAACGCUGGCGGCGUGCCUAAUACAUGCAAGUAGAACGCAGUUGCGAACGGGUGAGUAACGCGUAGGUAACUGCCUCAUAGCGGGGGACAACUAUUGGAAACGAUAGCUAAUACCGCAUACUGUGAGAUGGACCUGCGUUGUAUUAGUGAGUUGGUUAGGUAAUGGCUCACAAAGGCGACGAUCCAUAGCUGGUCUGAGAGGGUGAUCAGCAAAACUGAAACUGAGACACGGUCCAGACUCCUACGGGAGGCAGCAGUGGGGAAUAUUGCACAAUGGGGGAAACCCUGAUGCAGCCAUGCCGCGUGUUUGAAGAAGGCCUUCGGGUGGUAAAGCACUUUCAGCUAGGAGGCGUUACUCGCAGAAGAAGCACCGGCUAACUACGUGCCAGCAGCCGCGGUAAUAC